CCCCCGCGCAGCAGGCUGGGCGCCGCCAUCUUGCCGGGGGCGGCGCUGCCGUCACGCCGCUUCCGCCGGCGGGGGGCGGUGCUGCCGCCGCCAUUUCGGGCCGAGUCCCCCCCCUGCUGUCUGAGCGGCAGCACAGGGGGAGGGAGGUGUCCUCUACCCCGCUUAGCGUCUUCCCUGCGGGGUCCUCCGCAUUGUUUUCGUUUGUUUCUUUUAAGCUUACUGUGGACGGAUAGCUGGAUGCCUGACCUGUUUAGAGACAGGCUAAAGAGGGUGGUGAAUUGGGACUGAAGCACAUGGAAGGAGCUCUGCUGUGAAUGAGGGACAAGAACAGUUGGGAUGUCAUGAGUGAAGGCAUGCAGCAGAGAUGGGUUGUGGGAUCCCAGAGCUGAGAUUUAAAAAACUGGCACGAAAACUUGCUGAGAAGUAUCAGGAAUGCAAUCCCUUGGCGGGGGCCCAGCAAUGGCAGCUUUGCUUGGAGAUCACAUGUCACACAGCCGAGACAAUUACCCCGGCUCUGUUGUGAGCCCCUUGUGCUGCUUUUGGGUGCCCUAUGGAAGCUCAGGUAAGCUGUACCUGGAUAUAUGAACACAUGGCACUCCUGUAGGACUACAUACUUGGGCAGCUUCACACCUCCUCAUUGCCCUCCCCACAGCAGCAUCCUGUUUCUUGGAAAGGACUCAGUGUAGCUGCUUCUGUUCUGCUUCAUCUUUUGAGAGAAGGAUCCAGCACUGGAGAUCCUAAAAAAAAGAUCAGCUGUUUUC
rnacentral:lncRNA from 1 species